rnacentral:rRNA from 1 species
UACGAAGGGGGCUAGCGUUGUUCGGAAUUACUGGGCGUAAAGCGCGCGCAGGCGGUCUUCCAAGUCAGUGGUGAAAGCCUGGAGCUCAACUCCAGAACUGCCAUUGAAACUGUUAGACUUGAGUACGAGAGAAGGUGAGUGGAAUUCCCAGUGUAGAGGUGAAAUUCGUAGAUAUUGGGAAGAACACCAGUGGCGAAGGCGGCUCACCGUGGCU